rnacentral:rRNA from 1 species
UACGUAGGGGGCUAGCGUUGUCCGGAAUCAUUGGGCGUAAAGCGCGUGUAGGCGGCCCGGUAAGUCCGCUGUGAAAGUCGGGGGCUCAACCCUCGAAAGCCGGUGGAUACUGUCGGGCUCGAGUGCGGAAGAGGCGAGUGGAAUUCCUGGUGUAGCGGUGAAAUGCGCAGACAUCAGGAGGAACACCGAUUGCGAAGGCAGCUCGCUGGGACGUUACUGACGCUGAGACGCGAAAGCGUGGGGAGCAAACAGG